rnacentral:lncRNA from 1 species
AUGAAUGGGCCAAAACGGACAUGGCAGCAGGUCAAAAUCAAAUACAAGAACAUUCUGCAGAAUGCAGUGAAAAAGAAUACCCACAGACAAGGCACGGGUGGUGGGUCACCAAAGGCUGACCUUACCCCAGCAGAGGACAUGGCCUUGGAGCUAAAUAAAGGCAGGCCCGUCUUAGAGGGGAUCCCUGGGGGGAAAGAGACGAGCAUAGGUUCCUCCCAAGAUGCCACCCGCUUCAUUCAAGUGUCUGGCAGCACUGUGUUCCUGUUAGAGCCACCAGCACAAGCACCAGACGAUGCUGAUCCAGGUGAAAGCCCCAGUGCAGCAGCAACAGCACAUGAUGGAGACGAUGAUGAGGAGGAGACCAUCUCUGUGGAUUCCAGAAGGCAUGAGGACCCAGAUGCUAUACAGUGGGAAAACCAGCCUGGCAACAUAAGCUCACAAGCUAUCAGAAAGUUGUAUGGCAACCACCUCCGGCGCCAAAUAGAACUGGCAGACAUAGACAUUCAGUACAAGAAGAAAAAGAUAGAAAAUCUUGCACUGGAGUCCGAAAUAAAAAAAAGGACAAUUAGGAAACUGGACCUUGAAAUAAAAAAACUUGAGAGGGAGGUGAGAUAUGCCUUCAAUGUACACUGUAUGCUAACUGUAACACAAAUGUAUUAAUCAUUAUUUUUCUUUCCUCCCCCAGCUCCAAGAAGAUGACACAGCUCAAAAUAAAAAUUAGGUAUAUUCUCGUAAAGUCAAGUGAGCCAUGACAUAUGAGCUCUUAUUGUGAGCACACAGGACGGUGGCAUCUUUCUAAGGUAUUUUUUAUUUUCACAGCAAUCAGUACAACCAAGUCAUCGUUAUAAGGCACCGGCCUCUUUUUCCCACUCCCCCAGCACCAGGUGUGGCCACUAGCCUAUAUGAAGGCCCAAAAUUGUGUGUUCCUUUCUGCUCUGACAAUGGCAUGCCCAUUCUUGCGAGAUGUGGUGGAUGAAGAAGCACUUGUGCUGAGGAGAGCCUUCAGGCGAGAAAGGGUCUUCAGGGACCGGUUGGACCCACUGGCCUUCCCUGAUGACCAUCUAUAUGAAAGAUACAGGUUUUCUGCAGAUGGCAUCAGGUAUCUAUCCCACAGUGCUACAUAAAUACAGACAUACAACAAUGGACUGUACCUACAGAUAGAUUUUGACCAUAAAUAAACUAUAUAUAAAUGUUUACCUAUGCAUAGGCUGAAAAGGAAAAAUAUAUAGACUAUAUGAAUGCAUCACAUAAUACUGAACCUAGAGUACCCUCAGUUUAUAAACCAUACUCACAAGUUCUUAAACUGUUCCCUCGGUUUACCAAAUUGUGCCCACGGAUUAAUAAACCGUACCCACGAAUUUUUAAA